CUAAAAUAUUAUUUAAAUUGACAUCAUUAUUAUAAUAUUUAGGGUCAGACCCUACAGUAUUGAGAUUAAAAAAUCAAAUAUUCUAUAAAAUGUAAAUACACUGAAUUCAUUUGGAUAUAUUUAAGUGAGACUCUACAAUAUUAUUUGACACAAAUCUAUCUAAAUCAAAAUUUUAAUCAUUUUUACUUCAAACAUUUACUGAACUGAUUUAAAUAUUAAAAUCACUCCUUUCUAAUCCUCUGCUGUACGUUCAAACCUGAGGCCUUAAAUAGAAACACACAAGUAUCUGAUUGAAGGAACUUCUGCAGAGUCCUGGUUCCAGAACAUGAUGAUAGAAUUAUAGACAAACUUUAACAAAAGCUGCCUGAGAGUUUACAGGUUUUUAUGUUAAAUUUCUUCAGUAAUUUAAUGAGAGUUAUCAGCAAAAAAUCAAGUGUUCAUUUGAUGAACUUCAUUUCCUAAAACAUCCAGAAUUGGAGCUCAUAUCUUUGGCAGCUGUAAAGUUUCUGCUCCUUCAAAGUUCACAACACAAUGAAUGAAUUCCUAAAACACUCUCAAUGCUGGAGAGCGUUUGUGAUGCUGAAGCAGUGAUCAGUUUUUCUGUUUCUUCUCUGGAGAUGCACGAGGGACGUCUGCAGAGACUGAGAAAGAGUCUCACCACAUCCUGACAUGAGGAAAAAGACUUUAUUAAAGACUACAAUGAGAAAAACUAGCAGACGGCUGCAUUCAAGUUUAGGCUGUUAGAUUGUUCCAGAUAAGACAAGUACAAGAUUCUUCAGAGCCAUUCUACCACGAGCCUGAGAGGAAGAACUCCAACAGCUACUGAAUGUUCCUGUGGUUCCCUCAAGGCUACAGGAGGAGCCCUACGAGGACGAGCUGAUCCACCUGAUGGAGGCCAGUCGCUGUGGUUCAAAGCCAACACCGUCUACGUGGACUUUUACUGGACCACACGGAGGCCUUCAAACCGGACCAACAAGUUCAGCGACUCCCCGACUCGUGGGUCUGAGGACGCCACCAAGCCUCGGUCCAGCCGGCCUCCUGUCUGUGGGUGUUUGAGUGCUGAGAGGAUUACCACAGACCUGACCGUGAACACCGUUGACACCCACCUGAGGGACACGCUGCCUAAGAUCUCAAGGCUGCUUGGUCAUGGUCUUUCUGGUCCUGCUCCAGAACGCCUUCAUCAACUACGUCUUCUUUUGAAGAGGCCCUCAGAUGCUGCAAUCUCUGACCUUAAGGAGGAACUGCUACUUUCACUCUGUAACGAGACGGCAGUUAUUUUAAAGACCCAGCUCCUGUCGGCUUUGAAUGAAAGUUUAAUACCCAUCAAAACAUAAGUACAGACAGUUAAAUCUGAGCUGUCGGUCAGUAUUUCAAACGUCAAGUCUGACCGGGCUGCACUAAAGCACGCUAUGAGUGAAACGGAAACUUCACUCUCCACAUCACCGACGACAUCGUCACACUCCAAAGCAGAGCACCAAUCUGUUGAAUUUUUAAAAGUGGACUAUAAAUGUGAAGAAUGUGAGCAGCAGCAGACUGUGAGCAGUGGAACAGAUGUGAUCAGAAAGAAGUCAUUUUCUUUUUUAUUUUCUUUCUGGUUGACUUGAUGCUGUCAGAUGGAGCUGAUUCUGAUCUUUGAGGAUAAAAAGCUGUUUUUCCUUCACAGACUUUUCAGGAAAUUAUUCUCUCAGGUUUUCUCUGCUAUUUAUAUUUUUAUUAUCUGUGAU
ensembl:lncRNA